AAUUCCAGCUCCAAUAGCGKAUACUAACGUUGUUGCAGUUAAAAAGCUCGUAGUUGGAUUUCUGAUGGUGGUUGGAUUGUUGCGACCGCGUGUUGCAUCAACCAUACUAUUGUCAACACAUGCGAUGAGUUGGUGUGGUCAAUUUGGUUUGAUCCGCCAUUUAAUCGCUCGUUUACUUUGAGAAAAUUAGAGUGUUCAAAGCAGGCAUCUUGCCUUGAAUAUGUUAGCAUGGAAUAAUAGCAUAGGACUUUGGUUCUAUUUGUCGGUUGUUCGAGAACCGGAGUAAUGAUUGAUAGGGACGGUUGGGGGCAUCCGUAUUCUCAAGCGAGAGGUGAAAUUCUUGGACCUUGGGAAGACGAACAGCUGCGAAAGCGUUUUGCCUAGGACGKUCUCUUUAAUCAAGAACGAAAGUUGGGGGAUCGAAGACGRUCAGAUACCGUCGUAGUCUCAACUAUAAACUAUGCCAGCUAGGGRUCGGUGGUACUUUGUCACGGGUCCAUCGGCACCUUACGGGAAAUCAAAGCAUUUGGGGUCCGGGGGGGAGUAUGGUCGCAAGGCUGAAAACUUAAAGGAAUUGACGGAAGGGCACCACCAGGAGUGGAGCCUGUGGCUUAAUUUKACUCAACAMGGGAAAACUUCCCAGGYCCGGACAUAGUAAGGAUUGACAGAUUGAUAGCYCUUUCUUGAUUCUAUGGGUGGUGGUGCAUGSCCGUUCUUAGUUGGUGGAGUGAUUUGUCUGGUUAAUUCCGUUAACGAACGAGACCCSCGCCUGCUAAAUAAUCGGUUCCUGUUUACAGGGUACUGCACUYCUUAGAGGGACCACCCUGGGUACACACCGGAAGGAAGUUGCGGGCAAUAACAGGUCUGUGAUGCCCUUAGAUGUUCUGGGCUGCACACGGGCUACACUGGAGGGUACAACGAGUUUCAUUAGCUUACCCGGAAGGGUGUGCCAAUCUUUGAAUACCCUCCGUGAUUGGGAUAGACCAUUGCAAUUAUUGGUCUUCAACGAGGAAUUCCUAGUAAACGUGCGUCAACAACGCACAUUGAUUACGUCCCUGCCCUUUGUACACACCGCCCGUCGCUCCUACCGAUUGGAUGUUUCGAUGAGCCGUUCGGAGGAAUUUGGUGAAGGCGUAAGCUCGGAACCGGAAUCCAAAGUUCUGCAAAUCUGAAUAUCUAGAGGAAGGAGAAGUCGUAACAAGG
rnacentral:rRNA from 1 species